CUCAUAAGCAACUCUGGUGGCAAAAUCCUCAUCUUUUUCGUCUUUUAUAGCUCUCCAUGGUAUCCCCUCCAAAGGCAGCAGCUUAGUGCUGGAUGCGGCCCUCAGAGAGGCUGAUGGUCUCCAGAUACAUCCACAGACACUUUUUUCAAGCCUCCUGACUCGGGCGUGUUUCCUGCUGUGCACUUACUGGCAACGGGAAGCCUCUUCAGCACCUUUCUCCUGAUGUCACUUGUGAGUAUCAGUGACAGAACUGGUGUGGAAAUGGUAACCUUGGGUAUCUUUGUCUGCCACUGCUAGAGGGAUAGUGACCCUCUGCCAGUCCAGACCCCAGGAGACUGUUAGGGAACUUGAUUAGCUCAUGCUUGUCAGGAGCCUGAAGCAAGAAAUGUUUUC
rnacentral:lncRNA from 1 species